rnacentral:lncRNA from 1 species
GGGACUGGCUCUCAGUCCCUGCCUCGUGGGGGGUGCCUCCCCCCCUGUGAUGGGGGUAGUAACAGCCAGGGGCGGAAGAGGGGAUAGCUCUCAGUAAUCCCACGUAAGGUACCUGCCGUUGGAAGAUUUGAACUUUCUACUUGGACAACUAACACCCACAGUCCUCCAGCUGCGUUCGGACCCGUCGGAUCGUAAAUCCCACGUAAGGUCGGAAGAUUUGAACUUUCUACUUGGACACCUAACACCCACAGUCCUCCAGCUGCGUUCGGACCCGUCUGAUCGUAAAUCCCAUGUAAGGUACCUGCCGUCGGAAGAUUUGAACGUUCUACUUGGACACCUAAAACCCACAGUCCUCCAGACAGAAAGACAACAGGUACAAAGCCCUAAGGAUUAUAAAGGUAUGCUGCUUACCAUCAUCUUAGUGACCAAGGCAGCGAAGCUGUUUCUGUACCUUGGAACAGUCUUCCCUGACAAGCCAGAGAACAGUGAUAAAGCCACCAGCCUUGGGAUCAGGACUGAAAAGGCAAGAGUGAUGGAGAUUUCUCCUGCGCUAAGCCAAGAGAAGGUUUCAGCACUUCAGACAGCUCCCACCGAAGUAGCCGCGCUCCCAGCUGCUUGCAGAUGUUGAAAAGGAAAGCCUCGGUUUGUCUUGAGGUUGUCAGCAGGUGCAAGACACGUAAUAAAAUGCAAUGUGUUC